UGAACGCUAGCGACAGGCCUAACACAUGCAAGUCGAGGGGCAGCAUGGUAUCAGCUUGCUGAUACCGAUGGCGACCGGCGCACGGGUGAGUAACGCGUAUGUAAUCUGCCUGUAACAGAGGGAUAACCCCGGAGAAAUCCGGCCUAAUACCUCAUAGCACAUAUUAUUCGCAUGAGUUUUAUGUUAAAGAGACUCGGUUACAGAUGAACAUGCGUUCCAUUAGCUGGUUGGCGGGGUAACGGCCCACCUAGUCUUCGAUGGAUAGGGGUUCUGAGAGGAAGGUCCCCCACAUUGGAACUGAGACACGGUCCAAACUCCUACGGGAGGCAGCAGUGAGGAAUAUUGGUCAAUGGACGAGAGUCUGAACCAGCCAAGUAGCGUGAAGGAUGAAGGUCCUACGGAUUGUAAACUUCUUUUAUAAGGGAAUAAACCCUCCCACGUGUGGGAGCUUGUAUGUACCUUAUGAAUAAGCAUCGGCUAACUCCGUG
rnacentral:rRNA from 1 species